GCACAGAGAGUGUAAUGAGUUGCAUUUUAGGUGUUAGUAAUUUUUAGGUGUUAACAAACAUCUCCCCGUGCGAUGGCAUGACACCGUGACAGAUUUAUUGUGAAGAUGAAAGCCCACCAGAGUGUGUGGCACCAGCAAACCAAUAGGGAGACUCGUGAAGACCUAAAAGUCGUACGAGUACGUUAUAUAGAUACAGUGGUGCUGACUGACCAGCUGGACCAUCGUGAGGCAGACGGGAAGAGUCAUCGCCAUAAAGAAGACCAUUUUAUAUGUUUUGAGAUAUGAGUUCAAUGAAUAUUGUUGUAUAGUUUUACUAAUUAUGUACAUUAACUCUUCAAACUUUUAUUUUUAUAUUUACACAAU